CCCCACUCCCACCCUCGCCCCCCAUAUCAAAGGUGAAAAAAUCAAAGAAGAAGAGGAAACGCCCAACCAAAGAGAAACGGUUAAAGAAGCGCAAGAAUUGAAUACAAAUAAAAUAAUUAAAAACAAUAAAAUAAUUUAGAAUUCAAAUUUUACUGUUUUCUUCAAAUGCAAAUACUUCACCUGUCGCAUCUAUUGACACACUUCCAGUAGAAAUAAACUUGGUGUCCUUUUACAGAAGAAAUAAUUUUAUUAUAUCUUGAUUGAAGACUACUGAAGACUUUGACCAAGGAAUGAUGGCCUACUAUAAUUGCUAAAGAAUUGUGAGGAACAGUGAAAUUUUCUUAGAAUCUGUCUGGGACAUUGAGCAAAUCAAUCAAAACAUUUUACAAAUCAAAUUUACGAUCAAACCAGGGAAGGCUGUGUUAUUGAUGUGCCUUUAGUGUCUGUAGGAGAACAGAAUUAUUUGCCAAUCCCAAUAUUACAAUUGAGAUACUGUUGCACCCUCAUUUUAUUUCCUCUUGCUAUUACUUCUCCGUCCUAAUCUCUCUUGUACAUAAUUUUCUUUUUAACAAUAGCUGCCAGAGAGUUUAAAAGUGAAAAAACUCCCUUGUGUUAAAUACAUUGAAAAUUUCUUCCAGCAUAGGUAUUAUGUCAAUACGUUUUCCUUUCCAUGAAGGGAAAGGAAGAAGUAGAAGUUAUCAAGUACACCGUGCAGUAGCAGUAUGAAGUGAAGUGAUCUCUAUCAAACGCAAACUGUUCUAGUGAAUCAUUAUCUAAAUCAAUAUUUGUUCCAGAGUCUACAUAUUGUUUUGAGCAACUUACGUCAUGAAUAGCAGCCACCCAUCCAAGAAGACUUGGGAUGCAGUCAACAAACACAAACUGGCCACUAUGCCUCAGAGGGUUUGCUGAAGCAUCUUGCUUUAUUUAGAGCGUGUUCAUGAUACAUUUCAUGAAGGACACAGGGACUUUGAUGAUGAUUUUUGUGCAUUUUCUAUAGCCUGAUGAGUUUUGGAUAGUGCCUAUCUAUUUGAAGACAACUUCUCAAGGUAUGAUACGUGCUGGCUGCAAGGAUCAUCGAAGAAGGAGGAGCAGAAGAGAUACAAGAAAAAGAUCGAGGAAGAUGUAUGUAGCUGAAGUUUCAAUUAGCAACUGUGAAGAAGAACGAAGAGAGGCAAGCACAGGGAGACAACAACCAGAACAGAGGGAAAAGACUCACGAGUACAAGUGCAAAGUGUUGUCCUACAAGUUUUUUUUUUUUAACUAUUUGGUUUUAAGACUGUUAUUCAAUACCUCUGUAGAAUCUCUGAAGCUUCUUCUGACCUUUAAACUAUAUGGCCUUGUAAUUUUCUUAAUUUGUUCUUGAUAUCUGUAAUUUUUAAAAGAGUACUGUUUUAAUCUUUGGGUCUCAAUAGACACAGAACCGUUGGUAUCUACUCUGAACAGAACUAAUUGGUUCUUUCACUAAAAGAUAUAAUAAAAGACGGGGAACCGCAAGGUUCUGUCUUCGGAUCCUAUCUUUUUAUAAUCUAUACAAUUUCUAUUAGGUCUAUCAUUAGACAUAUACUAGCAGAGUUUGUCCUCUAUGUUGAUGAAACUACAAUUGCUAUUCCUGGAAAAAUCUUGGAAGAGAUUGCAGAGAAAGCUAUAAAUGUCUUAACAAAAGUAGAAAACUUCUCUCGUCUUUAGGAUUGGCUUUAAACUUAACCAGGACAAUCUUUAUGCGAUUUAAUUCUACAAAUGAAUCCACUCUCUCUCAAUGUUAACAGUAUUCCUAUACAACAAGUGACUGUUAGUAAUUUCGGGGCAUAAAUAUUUCUUUAAACCUUAAAUGGUGGUAACCAUAUGACUGAUAUAUGUAAGAAGCUCAAAAAAAAGAAAAGAACAAAAAAAGGAAUUUUCUAUCUAAUGCUAGCGGCUUAAAGUCUUAACAAAAAUUCUUAUAGCUAUGUUUUUCAUGCAUUUAUUCGAUCACAUUUAGCAUAUGGUAUUAUAAUCUGGGGAUCUGAUGAGAAGCAGAGAACAUCUCUUAAUAAAUUGUUUAGACUUCAAAAAAAGAACAAUUAGAAUGCUAAAUGGUAUCAAAGAUUAUUCAAUGUCCUUUAAAUAGUUUUUUAGAAAUGAUACGAUUUUAACUUUGUCAUGUCUAUAAUUGUAUUUUGCCUCUAUCUAUGUUCCCUUGAAAUCUACCUCGCUGAUAAGAUUCAAUAUUUCCUACGUAUGACUGUUUUUUCUUAUCUGUGAUGUACCCUGUUCAUUUCCUUGUAAGGAAAUGUGAACCAAUAUACAUAAACAUAAUUUAAUGCAAGGAAUUCUUAAUUUACCGAAUGUCUAUGUACUCUAUUUUAAAUCUUCAGUUCUUAAUUACUAUGAUCGUUUUCAUACAUUAUCUGUAAAUUUGUAUGCAAGAGCGCAAUUUGUUUGGAAUAGAGGUGUAACUCCAGUAUCAUUGUAUCGGAUUGAUUGAAAUAAAAGAAAAAGUAUAAUUUGA